rnacentral:rRNA from 1 species
AGAGUUUGAUCCUGGCUCAGAAUCAACGCUGGCGGCGUGCCUAACACAUGCAAGUCGAACGCGAAAGCCCCGCAAGGGGUAAGUAGAGUGGCAGACGGGUGAGUAACGCGUGGGUGACCUACCUUCGAGUGGGGGAUAACGUUCCGAAAGGGACGCUAAUACCGCAUGACAUCCUGCCUUUGAACAGGCGGUGAUCAAAGCCGGAACCGCAAGGUCUGGCGCUUGAUGAGGGGCCCGCGUCCGAUUAGCUAGUUGGUGGGGUAAUGGCUCACCAAGGCGACGAUCGGUAGCCGGCCUAAGAGGGCGGACGGCCACACUGGGACUGAGACACGGCCCAGACUCCUACGGGAGGCAGCAGUGGGGAAUUGUUCGCAAUGGGCGCAAGCCUGACGACGCAACGCCGCGUGGAGGAUGAAGAUCUUCGGGUCGUAAACUCCUGUCGAGCGGGACGAAAGAUCCACGACCUAAUACGUCGUGGAAGUGACG